AAUGGAUUCUUCGCCGCCCCCGGUUCCUGCACGUGCGUCUCCGACCCACACCCGCUCCCGUCCGCACUGACAAAGACAGACCUGUUAACGUUUUGCAUUUGGCUUAGAAGACGGUGGAAGUGUGCCUGCACCGCGCCGCACCGCAUCACCACCACCCCCUACGCACAACCGCACCGAGCACACGCUUGCGUGCACAAGCACGCGCAGCAAUUAAAGACGCUAAUGCCGGCACCAAAGAGCAAGCUCAAGUUGUUCGGAAAGAACCGACGCGAGAUACGUUCCGCGACGACAACGUACGACGAGCAUGGCAACUGGGUAGGCACGCCGCACCAAGACAAGAUGCGGCUUGUUGGGAACAAGAUGUUUGACAACUACUACGACACGUUACAGCAGCUAGGCCGCGUGGUCGCUCGCACUGUUUAUCCGACUUCGACUGAUGCCUGCGUCUCGUCCUCUUCCUCUUCUUGCGUCGCGGCGCAGGGCGCAUCUGCGGGUGUUGCGGCAUCGCUGUGGGUGAGAGAGAUGGAACUGUUCCGCACGCCGCUGCUCACGACUUUCUGGAUUAACGACACUGAUCCCCUCGCGGAUCACGUGCGGGCCUACAUGGAAUCUCUCGACCCGUCACUCGUGGAGCCGAUCUCGUGGUACCCGAUCGCUGGCAUGGGCUGGCGCAUCCUCGCUGACAAGGCAGAGUUCCGCAAGCGUCCCGAAAUGCAGCCGCUGCGGCAGUACUUGAUCCGGCAGACUGCCCUCGGCACCAUCAGCCGACAGGAAGAGGUCUCGAUGAUUCCACCGUUCCUACUCGAUAUCCAGCCGACCGACGUCUGCCUAGACAUGUGCGCCUCUCCCGGCUCCAAGACGGCCCAGAUGCUGGUGGCGCUUGGGCGCCACAAGGUCGUGCCCUUCGACUCUGACGCGUCGCCGUUCCCCUUCCAGUACGAUAGCGAUGGCCUUGUGAUCGCCAACGAGCUGGACACGAAGCGGGCCAACAUGCUGGUGCACCAGGUGAAGCGGCUUCGCCUGCUCUUUCCCUUUGCUCUCUUUACCAACCACGACGCACGAUAUUUUCCCGAAAUGUCACUGCAGCCGCAGCCCGGUGACGCGGAUAAGACAACGGCGGCCGGUACGCAGGUGCUUCGCUUCGACAAGAUCCUGUGCGAUGUCGUGUGCUCUGGCGACGGCACGCUGCGCAAGGCGCCGCACAUUUUCAAGCUCUGGUCGCCCAAGGAGGCCAUCAACCUGCAGAAGCUACAGAUCGAGAUUGCGCUGCGGGCGUGCCACCUCCUCCGCGUCGGCGGCCGCCUUGUCUACAGCACUUGCUCGCUGAACCCAGUUGAGAACGAGGCGGUGGUGGCGCAGAUCGUUUACCGCACUCGUGGCGCCAUGCGCCUCGUCGACGCCAGAGCACUGCUGCCACAGCUCGUGUGCGCUCCUGGCAUGACAAGGUGGACGGUCACAGAUGCCAAGGGGCGCGUGUUUCCAGCCCCUGAGGGCAACAUGCACGAGGCGCUGUUUCCGCCCCACACCCCCGGCGGAUACAGCUCCGCCGCCGUCGAUGCGCUGGACUUGUCGCUGUGCAUGCGUCUUUUCCCCACCCACUGCAAGGGCGGCGGUUUCUUCGUGGCUGUACUCGACAAGGUGAGCGAGUACCGGCUAAAGAGGCUGGAAGAGCUGAAGGCAGAGGAGAAAGGCGCCUCAUCAGAGAACACGGCGGAGGCAGCCACGGAGCGGCAGACCAUCAUCGGCAGCACUGCUCCUCCGAAGCGCGAAAAGAAAGAAGUGCAUGCCGUCAGUUCCGGCGGCGCGGAGGCGACAGCGGACGCCGGUGCCGAUGCGCUGGAAGCAAAGUUGACCACGGUACAUGAGCCGGUUAAGCCUAAGUCUCUGCCACCGCAGUUUGUUGGCGCGCCGGCGGAGAUCCAGCGCGCCAUCACCGACUUUUACGAGAUCCCGCAGUUUCCCAUGCAACUUCUGUUUGUUCGCACCGCGCAGGGAGAGCGCGAGCUGCGGUUGACCCCUGGCUCGGUGUGCAGCAUCGUCUCUCGCAUGGCUGCGCAGGUGCUGCGGCACAAGACGGACAACGUCCUCAUUGUCUCUGCCGGGCUGCGCGUGAUAGCGUUUGAGUGCUUGGACAAGGGCUGGCGCAUCGCGAGCGAGUCUGCGGUCCUCUUCGCAAAGCUGAUGCGCCGGUCUUCGCGCCUCGUGCGCGUCCCUGUCUCUCUCAUUCAGGACAUGGUCGUGAAUGGCGGGAAGCUAAAGGAAAAGCUGCUCGACAGCGUCGAGGACACGCAGCUGCGCAGCAGACUCGAGCGCCUUCCGAUCGGCGCCUUCCUGCUGGAGAUCGAGGCGCCCAAGGCGCUCGGUGGCGUGUUCUACUCGGCCGCCCUGCGCGCUCGCUCGCGCAUUCAGCUCCUCGUGGAUCACGAGGACCUGGAAGGGGUGCAGCUGCGUCUCGGCGAAGAUCCAGUAGAGCCCGCGGAGGUUCCAAAGGCGGAAAACGAAGACGACGCGCGAGAACGAAAGUGAGGCUCUUUACAGGGGCUGAAUGGCGAUACCCCCACGCCACCGAUGUGAGGACGCCAAGCGGCCAUCGACGUCUGUGGGCUACGCGUGAGCGCGUAUUGUGUUUGUAAGCGGGUAGUGCAUCGAUGUGAACCGCGGAUAAGCAGCUAAGUCCUUGUUGGUUUGCUUGAGUGGUCAGCGCCUCUGAAAUGGAGAAGAC
rnacentral:misc_RNA from 1 species